ACAUCCAGAGAAUUUAGCAGAGAUGCUUUAGUGCCUUCGGGAACUCUGAGACAGGUGCUGCAUGGCUGUCGUCAGCUCGUGUUGUGAAAUGUUGGGUUAAGUCCCGNAACGAGCGCAACCCUUAUCCUUUGUUGCCAGCACGUAAUGGUGGGAACUCAAAGGAGACUGCCGGUGAUAAACCGGAGGAAGGUGGGGAUGACGUCAAGUCAUCAUGGCCCUUACGAGUAGGGCUACACACGUGCUACAAUGGCGCAUACAAAGAGAAGCGACCUCGCGAGAGCAAGCGGACCUCAUAAAGUGCGUCGUAGUCCGGAUUGGAGCCUGCAACUCGACUCCAUGAAGUCGGAAUCGCUAGUAAUCGUAAAUCAGAAUGUUACGGUGAAUACGUUCCCGGGCCUUGUACACACCGCCCGUCACACCAUGGGAGUGGGUUGCAAAAGAAGUAGAUAGCUUAACCUUCGGGAGGGCGUUUACCACUUUGUGAUUCAUGACUGGGGUGAAGUCGUAACAAGGUAGGCGUAGUGCU
rnacentral:rRNA from 1 species